rnacentral:rRNA from 1 species
UACGUAGGGUGCAAGCGUUGUCCGGAAUCAUUGGGCGUAAAGAGCUCGUAGGCGGCUCAGUAAGUCGGGUGUGAAACCCUCAGGCUCAACCUGGGGACGCCACCCGAUACUGCUGUGGCUAGAGUCCAGUAGGGGAGUGUGGAAUUCCCGGUGUAGCGGUGAAAUGCGCAGAUAUCGGGAAGAACACCCGUGGCGAAGGCGGCUCUCUGGGACGGUACUGACGCUGAGACGCGAAAGCGUGGGGAGCAAACAGG